rnacentral:lncRNA from 1 species
UUUUCUUUCUUUAUUAUUUAUUAUGAAAUUUCUUUAAUUUGUUGUUGAUUAUAUCAACUUAUGAUUAUUAACUCAUUUUAAGUUUACAACAAUUAAAAAAAUAAGUGAAAGCUCAAGCCCAACCUAAAGCCUAGCGCAGGUCCACAAUGGGCCCUUAUACUUUCCCUCUAAUAGGCUUGGGUCUAGGCUUGAAAAAGCCGUGUCAAGCCCCCAUUUUGCCAUCCUUAGUCAAGCGAGAGUGCGAAGUUAUUUCUUAUUGUUUUGGCUACCUGACUCUGGAAUAUAAACUAUAGCUUUGAUAUGCAGCUGCUAGAAAAGGUUUGAAAUUUGUUGGAUACACUUUACAUAAGUACUAGGUCAAGAUAAUGAACUGUUUCUUCUUGUUUAAUUAAUUCUUAGAGUUGACCUUUGAGACUAAUGAUAGAUGCGUAUUAAGCAUUCAAUUAAUGGAGAUCCAAAAAUAUACUUUUUGAUUCUCGAAUACGGAAGUAGAUCGCAACGAUAUUAUAUUAUUGUCAAUUUUAUUAGAGACAGAGGAUAUAAUAACAAGGAAAAUCCUCAUGCUACUGUAUGCUUACGAUCGAAUGAUAAUAAGAGAAUAGAAAAUUCUCUCAUAUCACAUUGUAAGAGCCCACUAAUAUGUUCGACGUAUUUUUUAUAAGCUCACGAGAGAGUGAUAAAAGUCAAUCAAAAGAUUUAUAACGCUUAGAGUCCAAUUAGACUUACAUCAAUCAUUUGGAACUCCAUCUAGAAGUAGCUUCUACAUUGUUCUUUAUGUUGGGCACCCCAUUAUGGACACCAAUUCCUACGUAAACAGACAAUUCAACAUAUUAAAGGGAGUUGAAGUAGUCUAUUAUUCUCCUAUAUGAGGUGAUUUCAAAGUCAUUGAAAAAUGAAUUUGUAAACAUUUACCUAGUAGGUGCUAGGUAGUUUGUCGAUGACGAUUAAUUAUCCAAUCUAUCAACUCUGGGAGAACAUUUAUGACUUGUUAAAUAAGAUUUCUCAGUUAGUCCUAUUGUUAAAGUCAAGUGAUAAAUCAAUAAACUGCAGAAUCUACUCAAUUUUUAAACUGAUUUUUGGUACAAAAUAUUUUACCGGAGUCAUCUAUUCUAUUUCUCUAGAGUUGACAUUCGUAAAUAAAAACACGAUAAGACUUUUUUUAAUUUAUUUUUAUUAAGACAUGCAAACUAAUGAGACUCGAACCCAAGUCUUGAGUCUUAGCAAUACCGUUUCGUACUCUAAAACUAGACCUUGGCCUCAAUAACAUGAAAGAUUAAACGAACUUGACUUCAAACGGCCUAAUCUUUGCACUGAAACACAGUUUACAACCAGGUCUGGAAUCUUCAAUGAGGUUUCAAUACCUGUAAUUUCAAGGUCGUGGAAAUUUGAAUCUGAUUGCAGCUGGUAGCUUAUUGAGAUUUGAUCAUUGGGCUUAUCCAAUUCAUGACGAUCGAUUAAUUAUCCAAUUCCUUAAUUGGAUCUUCAGGAACUAAUGAGCAACGUAACUCAUCGUAUUUGUCUUUGGGAUGGUGCCGACUCAUUCCUAGAGCCAAAGGUUAUUGGUUGGCUAGCAGCCAUUAGCCAUCUCCGAUAACUGAAAGCUUCAGUAAAUAAUAUUUAAUUUCAUUCAUUCCAUGCCCUGGUGCACCAAGUUUUCAUUAAAAGAGAACGAUUAAGAGACCCGGUGCUUUUUAGAGCAUAACAAGAGAUUUCUAAUUUUACUCUGUAAAUGCCUAUUUCUUUACUUAUAUGGUAAGCUAAAGAGUGAAAAAAUAUUUUUUUUUUUCAAAAAAU